AUGUCAAACCUGUUGGAAACAUAUUGUCAAGCAUCAGGUCAAAGAAUCAAUCUGGCUAAAUGAAGUAUCUUCUUUAGUAAAAUUUGUCCAACUAAUGUCAAAGAUGAAGUCAAAGGAAUUCUGAAUGUGCCCAAUGAGACUUUGAAUGAUAAGUAUGUACGCAUGCCAUGAGAUGUAGGUACUUCAAAAUUUGGAGCAUUCAAGUACUUGAAGGACAGGUUGUGGAGCAAGGUGAAGGGAUGGAUUGAGAAAAUGUUAUCGUUAGCGGGUAAGGAGGUACUGGUGAAAUCUGUUGCACAAGCGGUGCCAGUUUAUUCUAUGUCUUAA
rnacentral:rRNA from 1 species